CCCUUAGAUGUUCUGGGCCGCACGCGUGCUACACUGAGUGGAUCAGCGGGUCAGGUUGCGCGAAAGUGUUUCCUAAUCUUGAAAUCCGCUCGUGAUGGGGAUUGACGGUUGCAAUUUUCCGUCAUGAACGAGGAAUACCUUGUAAGCGCGGGUCAUCAUCCCGCGCUGAAUACGUCCCUGCCCUUUGUACACACCGCCCGUCGCUCCUACCGAUUGAGUGGUCCGGUGAGGCUUUGGGAUCUGAGCAAAGAGAGCGUUUCGCUCGUUUUGCCCGGAAAACUCAGUCGAACCUUACCAUUUAGAGGAAGGAGAAGUCGUAACA
rnacentral:rRNA from 1 species